GACGAACGCUGGCGGCGUGCUUAACACAUGCAAGUCGAACGGAAAGGCCCUGCUUUUGUGGGGUGCUCGAGUGGCGCACGGGUGAGUAACACGUGUGUAACCUGCCCUUGUCUUUGUGGUAACUUCAGGAAACUGGGGCUAAUACAGGAUAGGAGCUCCUGCAGCAUGGUGGGGGUUGGAAAGUUUCGGCGGUUGGGGCUGGACUCGCGGCUUAUCAGCUUGUUGGUGGGGUAGUGGCGUACAAGGGCUUUGACGGGUAGCCGGCCUGAGAGGGUGACCGGCCACAUUGGGACUGAGAGACGGCGCAGACGCCAAUGGGAGGCAGCAGUGGGGAAUAUUGCACAAUGGGCGGAAGCCUGAUGCAGCAACGCCGCGUGCGGGAUGACGGCCUUCGGGUUGUAAACCGCUUUCGCCUGUGACGAAGCGUGAGUGACGGUAAUGGGUAAAGAAGCACCGGCUAACUACGUG
rnacentral:rRNA from 1 species